UCCUAUAGUUCAGUCAGGUUGGGGUCAAAUAACAGUAUGAAAAAGGGGGAGACUCCUACAGUUCAGUCAGGUUGGGGUCAAAUAACAGUAUGAAAAAGGGACAGACUCUUAUAGUUCAGUCAGGUUGGGGUCAAAUAACAGUAUGAAAACGAGGAGACUCCUACAGUUCCGUCAGGUUGGGGUCAAAUAACAGUAUGAAAACGAGGAGACUCCUACAGUUCAGUCAGGUUGGGGUCAAAUAACAGUAUGAAAAAGGGGGAGACUCCUACAGUUCAGUCAGGUUGGGGUCAAAUAACAGUAUGAAAACGAGGAGACUCCUACAGUUCAGUCAGGUUGGGGUCAAAUAACAGUAUGAAAAAGGGACAGACUCUUAUAGUUCAGUCAGGUUGGGGUCAAAUAACAGUAUGAAAAAGGGGGAGACUCCUACAUACAGUUCAGUCAGGUUGGGGUCAAAUAACAGUAUGAAAAAGGGGGAGACCCCUAUAGUUCAGUCAGGUUGGGGUCAAAUAACAGUAUGAAAAAGGGGGAGACUCCUACAUACAGUUCAGUCAGGUUGGGGUCAAAUAACAGUAUGAAAACGAGGAGACUCCUACAGUUCAGUCAGGUUGGGGUCAAAUAACAGUAUGAAAAAGGGGGAGACCCCUAUAGUUCAGUCAGGUUGGGGUCAAAUAACAGUAUGAAAACGAGGAGACUCCUACAGUUCAGUCAGGUUGGGGUCAAAUAACAGUAUGAAAACGAGGAGACUCCUACAGUUCAGUCAGGUUGGGGUCAAAUAACAGUAUGAAAAAGGGGGAGACUCCUACAGUUCAGUCAGGUUGGGGUCAAAUAACAGUAUGAAAACGAGGAGACUCCUAUAGUUCAGUCAGGUUGGGGUCAAAUAACAGUAUGAAAACGAGGACACUCCUACAGUUCAGUCAGGUUGGGGUCAAAUAACAGUAUGAAAACGAGGAGACUCCUAUAGUUCAGUCAGGUUGGGGUCAAAUAACAGUAUGAAAACGAGGACACUCCUACAGUUCAGUCAGGUUGGGGUCAAAUAACAGUAUGAAAACGAGGAGACUCCUAUAGUUCAGUCAGGUUGGGGUCAAAUAACAGUAUGAAAACGAGGACACUCCUACAGUUCAGUCAGGUUGGGGUCAAAUAACAGUAUGAAAACGAGGAGACUCCUAUAGUUCAGUCAGGUUGGGGUCAAAUAACAGUAUGAAAACGAGGACACUCCUACAGUUCAGUCAGGUUGGGGUCAAAUAACAGUAUGAAAACGAGGAGACUCCUACAGUUCAGUCAGGUUGGGGUCAAAUAACAGUAUGAAAAAGGGGGAGACUCCUACAGUUCAGUCAGGUUGGGGUCAAAUAACAGUAUGAAAACGAGGGAGACUCCUACAGUUCAGUCAGGUUGGGGUCAAAUAACAGUAUGAAAACGAGGAGACUCCUAUAGUUCAGUCAGGUUGGGGUCAAAUAACAGUAUGAAAAAGGGGGAGACUCCUACAGUUCAGUCAGGUUGGGGUCAAAUAACAGUAUGAAAACGAGGAGACUCCUACAGUUCAGUCAGGUUGGGGUCAAAUAACAGUAUGAAAAAGGGACAGACUCUUAUAGUUCAGUCAGGUUGGGGUCAAAUAACAGUAUG